rnacentral:rRNA from 1 species
UACGAAGGGAGCUAGCGUUGUUCGGAAUUACUGGGCGUAAAGGGCGCGUAGGCGGUACCAUAAGUCAGAUGUGAAAGCCCUGGGCUUAACCUAGGAGGUGCAUUUGAUACUGUGGAACUAGAGAUCGAGAGAGGAAAGUGGAAUUACGAGUGGAGAGGUGAAAUUCGUAGAUAUUCGUAAGAACACCAGUGGCGAAGGCGACUUUGCUGGCUCGAUACUGACGCUAAGGCGCGAAAGCGUGGGGAGCAAACAGG